GUGUCAGCAGCCGCGGUAAUACAGAGGUCCCAAGCGUUGUUCGGAUUCAUUGGGCGUAAAGGGUGCGUAGGUGGCGUGGUAAGUCGGGUGUGAAAUUUCGGAGCUUAACUCCGAAACUGCAUUCGAUACUGCGGUGCUUGAGGACUGGAGAGGAGACUGGAAUUCAUGGUGUAGCAGUGAAAUGCGUAGAGAUCAUGAGGAAGACCAGUGGCGAAGGCGAGUCUCUGGACAGUUCCUGACGCUGAGGCACGAAGGUCAGGGGAGCAAACGGGAUUAGAUACCCGGGUAGUCC
rnacentral:rRNA from 1 species